CUGUGUGGGGAAGAGCCAACUGCUGCAAAACAGAGUGAAGUGGUCAUCCUUUUACAGCAUGAGCUGCGUUAUCAGGAAGAUGUGAAACAAAUGUGACAAAGUGAUACGGUCCUUUAAAUCUGCCUUAAUUUUACUGGGAACACUGCCGCUGUGCAUUUCAGUCUCGAGCAAGAGUUUGUGCUGAAGCCGUGAGUUUUCCCAAGAAAGCAGAGAUGAGACACAUGUACCAGGUGGAAGCGCACAGCGAGUCCUGUCCUUGCGAGGUGGCGUUCUCAGCAGCUCUGCCACAGUCUGGAUAUAGAGUGUCGUGAUUGGGAUUCCCAGGGGGUAUUUUUGUGGAACUUCAGAGCAAAAGUGGCUGACACUUGUUCUUUGUUGCCCUUGGGCUACCGGUUUGAUCAGCGACUGAACGGAUUUAUCCGUGUCAGCAGAAGGAGUUUUCCACUCUUGUCAAUGCGGAAAUACUUGCUUUUGAACGCAGACACAAAAAUACGCGUUGGAGAGCCUCCAGUUCUGUGUGCUUGAGCAGUGUACAGUGCGUUGAGGAGCAAGAAGGAGGAAAAAAAUCCCCGCUUCUGAGUCGUGCAGCUGCGCCCAGGGCACGAGGCGCUCAGCCCGGCCGCCUCCGCGCAACAAACGCGGUACAAAUAAUUUGAUUAGCGUUCCCCUCGUGCAGGUGCUGAACCUGACACGGAGCAGCGCCGCGGGGCGGGCUGGGCGGCCGGACAGCGUGCGGAGCAUCGCGAGCAGUUGGUAACAUUUGGCAGCUUAACAGAGAAAAAAUGACUGCUAGGGAAAAUCUCAGCCGCCGCUAAUUAGCAGCAAUGAACUGUGGGUAAGGACAGUACAUUUUAAUGUGAGAAGAAUUUUACAAUAACCACCACACUGAAAGAAAUAGAACGAAAUGCUCCCUAGCUGACCCUUGUGGCAAUCUAAGCUGCAUAUUGCAAUAAUCCUGUAAAUUACUAUGCUUUUUUAUACAGUAACUUGGAGUUAAUUAGUAAUUUAACAUUCCUCUACGCUAUUAAAUGUCUUUCUUGCAUUAUAUUAUGUUGUUUCAUGGUCUUACCUUAACACUAAUGGGGUUUAGUUAUAUUUUCUCAAAACAGUAACAGUAAAAUAAAACCGGGAUGGAAAAUUAAUUAGCUCUCUUUUACCUCUGAUUUACCUGUCGGUAACAAUUAGGCAA